GAUGAAGAUGAACCAGGGAUAGAAUGCCCUUCCAAGGAAAUUAGCUAUUUUCCCACACUGAUAGAUGUUAUAACAGUGUGAUCUAGAUUGAAGUCCAGGGCUUGGGCAGCUACCAUAGCUGAACCUGUGUAGAGUCCCUCCAGAAGUUACACUUGAAAGAAAGCUAUCCAUUGAAUAUUGUUAGAUACCAAAAUUAAAUGUUGAAUUUUAAUAUUAUCCAGAGGAACAAGAAGUAUUUUUAAUACAUCUUUUGAAUUUCUUUUAUUGUCUUAAAAAAACUUUAUCAAAUGUUGAUGUUUGUCUUUUAUUAACUUUUAAAAAAUAAAAGUAAUCUAGCUAGCUCAUUAAAAAUUUAAAAUAUGUAUAAAACAAAAUAUAUUAUCUAUCAUCAAGGUCAGAUUCUGGCCAUUUCAAGAAUUAAGGACUGAAAAGAUCGCUUUCCAAUUUCUUGUGUUAUUGAAUUAUUAUUAUUGAUUACUUAUUUUUAUCUUUUGAAGGUGUGAGUUGUGUGCGCACACACAUGAAGAGUGCAAGCAUGUGUACAUGGGCUGGUAGACAAUCUCAUAUCAUCCUCAGCAGCAUCAUUCACCCCAUUGGAAACAGUUUCUCCUGGACCUGGAGCCUGCUCCACUCAGAUUAGACUGGUUACCAAUGAACCCUAGAGGCUGGCCGAUCUCUGCCUCCCCAUUGCUGGGGUUUCAAGCACACAUCACCCACCCCUAUCCAUAGCAGCAUUUUUUACAUGUAUUCUAGGGCCAUGCAACUCAUGUCCUCAUGCUUGUAAGGUGAGCGGUUUACCAACUGAGCCCUUGAAUCUUGGUUGUUUUUUGGUUUUGUUUGUUCGUUUGGUUGGUUGGUUUUUUUGUUUGUUUGUUUCUAUUUAAGUUAGCAUACAAAAUACUGGGAAAUAUCAAGAGAAAAGAGAAUUACCAUCCCACAAUGCUUUUUAAGGGCACCCUAUGACCCAAUGACUCAAAACUUAUCACUAGACCCCACCUUGUGAAGCUUUCCAAUGCCAAUAGUCCCAAGCUGAGGAACAAGCCUUUAACACCUGGGAGACAUUCAGACUCAACCUAUAGUAGUCUGCUAGGACAUCCAGACUUUGCUGUCAUAUUAGUACUAAUGGGUCUCCCAAAAGUGGGAGUUUUCAUGCUAGUGGUGGGAAUGGACAAGACAAACUGGCCUCUCCUCACUGUCGCCCAGAUAACAGACACUUUCUCUUACAGUGAUGACAGAAGUCACUCCUUGAAGUGCUGGUUCGCUUUCCAUUGUGUUUCCUUAAACAGAAUCAAGUCAGAUGCUCACUCUUACUGCAAAGAAUGGCUCGUAACAAUCAUAGUUUAUCCCCGUGGACACAUAGUGGAUCCAUGUAGAAGGAGAAGAGGGAAAGAUUAUGAGUGAGCAGCUCCCAGGACACCUCCAGUGAAGACUAGAGGUUUGGAUUUGAUCCUGCAGACAAGAGACAUCUCUAGGCUCUACACAGCAGUCAGCUGUCUCAUCUGAUAUUUUAAAUACAGAGGGAUUGAUAUAAGUGGGUUAAAUAAUCACUUUUACUAAUACCACUAAAGCAAGAAGGACUCUUGGUAGAUUCUUGCAAUAAUCUAGACACAGGAUAAGAUCUAAACAGAGACAGUGUCAGUUGAUGUGUAAACUAAACAUCAGUUGAUGCUGAGUUUCAAAGCUACGGGACAUUUUACCACACAAUGUACUGUGCCUAGGUUCAACCCAGACAGCUCUCAUUUGUGAAGGAGAAAAUAGUGAACGAGACAUUAGAGGAGGCUUGGCCAAGUUUCUCUCAGCUGCCAAACAUUACCUGCCUAACAAAGCAAACAUCUUAUAAGAUUGGGGUGCACUUUCAGCAGAGAUGAGCAACCAUGAGCUUGGCAGUAUCCAUUAGAAGACUGGCUUCCCACUUCCAGUUACUCUACGUGAGCUUAUAACUGAGAUAAAGCUAAUCCUCCCAAGGCCUGUUAGUGAAAAAUCAACCCGGCAAGAAGCACAGCCUGGGAGUGCUGAACUCUUCCUACUAUGCGAGGUUCGAGAAAUGCUGCACAAGGAACAUUUGGACGAUGGCGGCUCUGGGAGGCAAUGGACCUUGACGCUCUUUCAAGAUAAGGGAGGCAGCUAAUUCAGCAAGAGUCUGUCUCCCAAAGAGCUGGAUGUGAUCUAUCUCUGCAGCCUCGCUGGAUGUCUCCAAGCACGAAAAACCUUAUCCAAUACAAGCUUCAAAGUCUGCAUGGUUGUUUUCUGGUUCCCAGCCUUCACUGACACCGCCUGCCUUGACUGAAGCCCACGGGCAAGCCUCAAGCUUUUGGAAAGCCACUGCAAGUUUUCUGUUGAAAAUGUCUAGGCUUAAAUGUAAUCUAAGCUCUGGUAAAGUACUUACGCUAAUAAAGGGCUAAGGCUU
rnacentral:lncRNA from 1 species